AAGGAAGGAAGCGGCAGCAAAAGGCGGUGAUUCUACAGAGAGAAAGAUGCUCAGGAGUUGGUGCAUGCCCACAUUGCUCCAGCUGUGACCAGGACAAGCCCUGCCCCCAAAACUAUGGGGAGGAAAGAGACUCCAUCUGCUGUCCCUGCCAAGAGACCUCGCCACCAACAGCCAUGAGGAAAGAGACUCUCUCUGGCUCUGGGAAGACAGAAGUGAACCACUGUACAUACCCAGCUGUUGAAUUCCCCAACUGCAAACCUGAGCGGACGCAAAUGCUUCCAGGGGCUACACGUGAUUGACAGUGAGGCUGCCCUGGGGUUGGCCCCAGAGCUGGUUGCUGCUCUGAUUGGUGGGCACUCUUCCUCAACUUGUCAUCUCUCUGUGGAUGACGAGUCAGAGGCUUUCUUCUUGGUUCCUCUUGAAUCUAGUCGUUAACACGACCAUCUUUGCUAAAGUAGGUUGGCUGAAGUCAUCAACUUCCAGAGACCCAAGGAUCCAAAUAAUUAAAUGACUGCUCACGGAAACUGAACUCGCUGGUGUCUCUGGUUAACAAACGACACACCUCAUAGCCAAAGAGGAGAUGAUACAUAAUCUACAAUGAGGGUCUGGAUGCCUUUAGAAGACACAAAAUUGGAGGUCAUUAGAAAAGAAAGACUGUUGUCAUGGUG